UACGGGGGGGGCAAGCGUUGUUCGGAAUUACUGGGCGUAAAGGGCUCGUAGGCGGCCAACUAAGUCGGAUGUGAAAUCCCCAGGCUUAACCUGGGAACUGCAUCCGAUACUGGAUGGCUUGAAUCCGGGAGAGGGAUGCGGAAUUCCAGGUGUAGCGGUGAAAUGCGUAGAUAUCUGGAGGAACACCGGUGGCGAAGGCGGCAUUCUGGACCGACAUUGACGCUGAGGAGCGAAAGCCAGGGGAGCAAACGGG
rnacentral:rRNA from 1 species